rnacentral:lncRNA from 1 species
GCGGAAUGGAGGGAUUUAGAGCGCCCAUCCUUUUAAAAAACAUGAACCGUUUCAAGUACAGAGUUUGACAGAGGGUAGACGGUACGAACUUGCUCCCACAGGCCUAGUUACUUGCCUCGUGCAAGGCCCCUCUCUCCCCUUCCCACUUGGAAUCAUCUUUGUCUAGGAAGAGGAUUUCAGUCCGGGUCUUUGAGAACACCUCUCAGGCCUGACCGUGGCCUUGGGAAGAAGACUCCCAGCCUGAGGGUCUUGUUGAGAGUUUUAAUGUCCCCUUUAGGGACAUCUUUGCUUUUCUUUCUUUCAGAAGAGGAAUCAAUUCUGGACCGGAGGGUGUGUCCCUGCCUUUGCCCUCCCCGCCUCCCCCCACAUCCUUCUCUGGCAAGGGGAAUGAGGAUGAGAAUGACCUCCAUCCGCAGGACGAGACGUGUCUGCUUCGCCGUUGCCUUCCACCGUGAUUGUGAGUUUCCUGAGGCCUUCCCUAGCCAUGCUUCCUGUAUAGUCUGUGGAACGAGCAGAUUAUGGACGGCAGAGCUGUAGCUUCUGAUUGAACAGAAUCUGAUCAGCAACCUUGGCCUGAAAGCUCGGCAGACUGAACGCUUCAGUGUGAUGCAGCUCAUUUGAAGUCAUCCAGACCUCAAGAGCUCCUUUCUCCUGACCUUGGACGUUGGCUGGUGCCUGGUGUGCAUCGUGGGGAGUUCCCCAAGGAUCCAGAUGCCUGCCACUGUGCCAUCAAGGAGGUCUGGCCUCCAAAGGCCUGGGCAGAUCUUGGGAGAGAGGAAAAAAAAGAAAAAAAAA